UGAUGCGAUAUAAAAUGGAAAGAGGAGACUGUCGUCCUGUCAAUAGGUAAUUGAAGGGUUCCCCGGCGCGCAUCGUAGUAGCCGGCGUGGCGCGGCGCGGCGCGACGCUACGCGUCCAAGUACGCGUGUCUCUCUCGCGGGGCUCCUCUCUAUUCCCAUAGCCUCCCUCUCCGCGUGCAUACGGAUAAGGCGGGCGAUCGUGGCGGCAGGAGCGCAUUGGAAGGGCCAGAACGGCAGCUGUCGGUAGCGGUCGAUGCGAGGUCCGCUCGAAAGUGUCGGGGGCCUACUUCCUCGAGGGCUCGGCAACGACUAACUCUCUGUCUCUCUGCCCGUAUAUGCGUGGCCGGUCGUGUCAGUACUUUUCAGGUCGGUCCACAGUGCAGUUGGCUUUUACCAUCGAGUUUCGACUGGCACACAGUCGCUCGGGCUGCACGACGAUUCGUCGAGUCGCCGUUGGGUUACGCUCGCGAGUGGUCGGUCGGCCGUGCUUCUCCUCGUGCAACGCCGUCAAACCGUAAGUGUCUCUCUCUCGUGUACACAUCCUGCCCGCGCUGUGUCUCGUGCCUCUGUUGUUGUGCGAACCAAAACUCUGCGCCCGUGUGCACGCAUCUCGUACGAGGCGGAAAGAGAGAGGGAGUGCAGCACCGAGGCAGCGUUCGUUAAUACCCGCUUCCGGCACGUGGAACCGAACCGCACUCUGUUUUUCUUCGCAGCGCAUCGCUGCUGCCGUCGCUCCAUACUUCUCUCGUGGGAGGUCAGCACCUAGCCGGUGGGUAGAAGUCGAAAUGUUGUGAUGGCCGGGACAUCUCGACGUCCGAGCUCCGAGCUCGGACCGGACCUUUCAUCCCCCACGCCGCCCAAGAAAUCGAAGUUCUCCGAGGCCUCGAUCGAGGGAAGAUCCGAGAAGGAGCAUGACUUGAGCACCGAGGAGUUGGAGAGCGUGGAGAAAUUGUCGGUCUCGGUGGGAUCCUCGUUACCCGAGAACACGAUAGAGGUAAUAGUGCCGGGGAGCGCGUCAGAGACGAAUCCAUUCGGCGAGGAAUCCGCGAAACAGGUGGGUUUGGAGGGAAAUGUAGCAGCGGCCGGCUCCUCGAAGGAAGGACACUUUGGCAGCUUCGAAACGAUCGCACAAAUGAAGUACAGCGGCCAGAAAGAGUUGUCUGGCAGUUCUAACAAGAGAUCGGAGUCGGACGGCGACGUGCAAAUUCAAACUUCGAUAAUCGGCGAGGAUGCGUCGUAUCAGGAAUUGUCUUUGAUCGGAAAUGGCGCGUAUGGAACGGUGUACAAAGCUAAAGACUUGAACACGGGACAAGUGGUGGCGUUGAAAAAAGUCAGAGUGCCCCUGACGGCAGAUGGCCUGCCUACGUCCACGUUAAGGGAAAUAGCCACUUUGAAACAGCUCGAAAGAUUCGAGCAUCCGCACAUUGUAAGAUUGUUGGACGUUUGUCAAGGGAAUUAUCUACACUUGCCUUCCGCCGAUGGAAGGUCGGAGAGAUUGGAUCGGGGAUUGACGUUAUGGCUUGUGUUCGAGCACGUGGAAAGGGAUCUAGCAUCUUACAUGUCCUCUUGUUCACAGACAGGGAUUCCUCCUCAUGUGGUGAAGCAAAUGUCGAAGGAAAUACUCAGAGGUGUAGAAUUUUUGCACAGUCAUAGAAUCAUACACAGGGACUUGAAACCUCAAAAUCUAUUGGUAACCAGGGAGGGAAGAAUAAAAAUUGCAGAUUUUGGUUUAGCGAAAACGUACGAUUUUGAAAUGAGGUUGACUUCUGUGGUCGUGACACAAUGGUAUCGAGCUCCAGAAGUCCUCUUAGGCUGCUCUUAUGCAACUCCUGUUGAUAUUUGGUCCGUUGGAUGUAUUCUAGCAGAAUUAAGUAGACUUGAACCUCUGUUUCCUGGUACGAGCGAAGGUGACCAACUCGAUAGGAUUUUCCAAAUAAUUGGAACUCCAUCGCAAGGGGAAUGGCCUGAAAAUGUAUCUCUUAGUUGGACAGCUUUUCCUUAUAGACAACCAAAAUCUUUUGCAACUAUAAUAUCUGAUCUCAAUGAAUAUGGGCUAGAUUUAAUUAAAGGUAUGCUUACCUUUAAUCCUCAUAGACGAUUAACUGCGGCUCAAGCCCUGAGACAUCGGUAUUUUGCUGAAGAUGAUUCGUGAUGAUUAGUUUUCUUGAGUAUUUUUUCUUCAUCUCUAAUAAUUUUUUAAAUGCAGACUGAUGUUACGGUAUCCAAAAAAUACAAAAUAGUAUAGUUUAUUACGAAUAUAAUACAAUAUGAAUCUUCGUAAUUAUCUACGGCUUAUAAAUAUUCCUUUCUUAUUGAGGAAUUAUAAUUGCAAAAUACGUUUACUACAGUUUAUGAAACCAUCGUUAUAUUUAAGUUCUAUAGCUAUUGCAUUUGAAAGAUCAUCGUAAUUUAAGUAUACAUAGCCGUUAAAUAGUACAGUAAGUAACAACUUUCUAAGCUUUGUUCGGAUAAUCGUACAAUAAUUUUCAUUAUUUGUGUAUGUAACAACGACAUUAUCGAUAGAUAUAGUUAUUUAUUUAGGUUAAUAUCUAAAUAGCAUUUCCGUUUCUAUUUUCUAUUUUCAUAAUAGUGAUGAAUCUACUCAUAUUUCCACGUUUCAUUUUCACGUUAUAAUACCUUUCUCGACUAGUAAAUAUUUUCUAAUAAAAAUAAAAUAAUAGGAUUUCAUCUUCGCGCACCAAAAACAAUUUCGUAUAAUGAUUGAUUAGGUGUGCCUUCCAAAGUCGUUGAAAUAUUCAUAACCCAUGCCUUAAUUUUCUAUGUAAUGAAACUUAAUUAUAAGCAUAUUAUUAAGUAGCAUUAUUCUUGUAAGACUGGGGCCUAUUGACCCGUUAGAUUCGUUGGAAAGAUAUAGGAUUUCCCACAAAAAA
rnacentral:misc_RNA from 1 species